AUUCUAACUUACCACUACCAUGAUCAUGAAGAUGGUUCACCCAGUGUGAGGCUCAGCUGUUGCACUCCAUUUGUGCUGACCCCUGUGAAUUCCCCAAAUGUGAGAAUCUUGACUGCAUAAUUUCUGGUAUAAAGGUACCGCAUUCAUGAUCUCUCCUG